UACGUAGGGUGCAAGCGUUGUCCGGAAUUAUUGGGCGUAAAGAGCUCGUAGGCGGUCCGUCACGUCGGGCGUGAAAACCCAGGGCUCAACCCUGGGCCUGCGUUCGAUACGGGCGGACUAGAGUUCGGUAGGGGAGACUGGAAUUCCUGGUGUAGCGGUGAAAUGCGCAGAUAUCAGGAGGAACACCGGUGGCGAAGGCGGGUCUCUGGGCCUUACCUGACGCUGAGGAGCGAAAGCGUGGGGAGCAAACAGG
rnacentral:rRNA from 1 species